CUCCUGCUCUCUGUGCUGGGAUGGGUGUGGUUUUUUUGGUUUUUUUUGUUUUUUUGAAGACAAACUUCUGAAUGAUGUGAGUGCCUGGGUCUCAGUUUCUGAGCCGCUCUGGAGAAGGAGUGAGGCACACAGCGGUGUGCCAGACCUCGGCCUGCGUUCGCAGUGGAGUUAAAUGCUACAGUUCAACAGCUACGGACCCCGCAGCUGUGUCCGCACAGAUACGGAAAAAGUCCCAUGCCAUGGCGGACUGAAGCGAACCGCUUCAAAAGCUCUGAGAGAGAAGGUCUUCUGGAAGGCUGUCGUUCAUACCAUGUUGUUAAAGGACAUCUGGAGAAAAUCUCUCAGAAGCUGCUUAUUCUGUCGACCUUGUCGGUAAACAAGGUAUGUAAAGCAUGGACUAGCACACGCUUUCUCGGUCACAAAAGAAGGAUGAGACGUGCUUAAGUGGCAUUACCUCGUCGGAUCCACCCAGACAGUGCAGGAGUCUAGCUGGGACAGCGAGCCCCCGCCAUUCCCACUGCACAUGCCCCGCAUGACUGCUCAGGCGCCUGCGGUGCCAUGACCUCUGGCUGGUUCACCAGACAAGGCUUAAUGCACAAGGCUCAUGCACACUCAGCUCCCCACACUUCAGUCUUUCAUGUUGUGCAGAAGGCAUGUGAAAUUCUGUGGAAUUAUUGUACCUGUAUAACAGAACGUUUAAAACUAAAUAAAAUGUUCAGCCAUAUGUGACAUAUGGUACAGUUGCGUAUCGUUGUGUUGUGUUAAAAAAUUAGAGUUGCACUUGUUUUUACAUGGAUAUAUUUACAUUGAUUAAAUCGAC